rnacentral:lncRNA from 1 species
ACCAGGCGCCUCGCACUGCAAGGAACACUGGGCCACUGAAGAGGCUUCAUCUGGUUGACCUGCAGCCCACAGCCUGCCCCGUCCACUGCCAGCCUCAACCCACAGGGAAGCGGGGCCAGCCCACCCUCCCCACCGGGCUGGGGCUCCAGCUCUCCGAGGCCAGGCACAAAGAAAACAGACUGGCAAGAAAUAUACCGAGGGUCCCUAAAUGGGGCAUUCUGGAUGUGUUUUGCUGGUUAAAUACAUAUUCAUUAUAAAAUUUUACAACAGGGAAAGGUCCUAGGGGCUGGCUCACAUACUCGUCAGUCCACCCUCCUCCUCCAGCAGCUGUUGAAAAGCCUGAAAUCCUAUUCCCCAGAGCCCGUUGGGGCUGGAGUUGCAGCCAAUUCGGUUCAGCCAAUUGAACGUGCUUUGCAAGAUCUGAAGGGUGGAAGGGAGGCCAAGGCUUCCUGGCCCCUCAUGCACAUGUGAGGUUCUCUGCAGUGCCUGGUCUUCAGUGCCUAAGGCAUUUUUCUUUUUUUCUUUUCUUUUUUUUAUUUUUGUGUGUGAGACGGAGUCUCGCUCUGACGCCCAGAUUGGAGUGUAAUGGCACGAUCUCAGUUCACUGCAACCUCUGCCUCCUGGGUUCAAGCAAUUCUCGUGCCUCAGCCUCCUGAGUAGCUGGGAUUACAGGCACCCACCACUAUGCUAGGCUAAUUUUUU